CUGUUGAAACGUUUUAUCCGC
rnacentral:siRNA from 1 species